rnacentral:rRNA from 1 species
UACGGAGGGUGCAAGCGUUGCUCGGAAUUAUUGGGCGUAAAGGGUAGGUAGGUGGUCUCAUUUGUCUGGGGUGAAAGCCUUGGGCUUAACUCAAGAAGUGCCCCAGAAACGGUGAGACUGGAGUCCUGGAGAGGGUCGUGGAAUUCCCGGUGUAGCGGUGAAAUGCGUAGAGAUCGGAAAGAACACCAACGGCGAAAGCACUCUGCUGGGCCGACACUGACACUGAGAGACGAAAGCUAGGGGAGCGAAUGGG